CAAGGAAUUUUGCGCAAUGGGCGAAAGCCUGACGCAGCAGCGCCGCGUGAGGGAUGAAGGCCUUCGGGUUGUAAACCUCUUUUCUCAGGGACGAAUAAUGACGGUACCUGAGGAAUAAGCUUCGGCUAACUACGUGCCAGCAGCCGCGGUAAUACGUAGGAAGCAAGCGUUAUCCGGAUUUACUGGGCGUAAAGUGGACGUAGGCGGCCUUUCAAGUCGGAUGUGAAAUCUCUUGGCUUAACCAGGAGGGGUCAUCCGAUACUGUUGGGCUUGAGGGCAGCAGGGGAAGGUGGAAUUCCCGGUGUAGUGGUGAAAUGCGUAGAUAUCGGGAGGAACACCAGUGGCGAAGGCGGCCUUCCAGGCUGUUUCUGACGCUGAGGUCCGAAAGUGUGGGGAACGAACAG
rnacentral:rRNA from 1 species